rnacentral:lncRNA from 1 species
CCGGCCGCGGCGCUUAAGCGCGAGGCGAUUCGAGAUCAGCUCCGUCAACGAAAGACGAGAUCGCGGGAGCGCGCUAAAGAAAGACAGCAGCUCGAGCGCCAGGGCGCGGGAGCUUCACAGCAGCCUGAGGGAGCCUCAGACCAGGAUGCGCGCACCGUCCCCGCCCCCGUGCCGCCCCGAGAUGGACUCUCCGUGGCGGUGCGCGAACCUCAGCGAGUUUUCGGCGAUCUGGAGGCCAAGGUGUACGAUGGGGUCAAGGUGGACGAGGCAUGGGUCACGGCCGCGAGGUACAUGUUGGAAAAACAUGUCGUCACCACGGGUCAUAAUCGCGAGGUGGAGGGGAGGCGCACGCGG